rnacentral:lncRNA from 1 species
GUAAAUGUUUGAAUUUUCUCUGUUGAUUUGUAAUUGAGACAAAUGGAUUGAGAUGUCUGUUCACAUUAUUUUUAAAAAGUGAUGGGCUCCCAUAUUGGCAGAGGCAUUGAGGCACUCAGCAGGGUCAACUGGGACAGUGCUUCUGAGCAAAGUGCGUUGGCCCAUUUCUUGGGUAAAUCACUGGGGAGGCUUGAAAGCACAGAGGUGGAGACUUAAGACAAUGCACUCUGUAGCCAUGCUCUCUGGAUUUGAAUCCCAGAUUUGCCUCUUAGUAACCCUAUGACCUUGCCUGCUAGCAGAGAUGAAUAAGGCUGAAGAAGCAAGUCCCUGGAGAGAAAGGAAGAGAUGAGAGAGACCCCCAAGUUGUGUGAUCACCUCCAGCACACUGGAGACUGAGCCGUUUCACAAGAUCAUUCAUUCUAGGAGAGACCUUGGGAGGAGAAGUCAUGAGGACAGUCAACCAGCUCUUUGAAGAAGUCCACAUGCUGAGAAACUGAGGCCUCCUGCCAACAGCCUUGUGAGUGAAUCAUCUUGGAGGUGGAUCCUCCAGCACCUGUAAAACCUUCAGAUGACCACAGAUCUGGCUGACAUUUUGACCUCAAUGUUAUGAAAAAUCUUGAGGCAGAAGCACCCAGCUAAGCCAAUCCUGUAUUCUUCACCUACAGAAACUAUGAGGUACUAACACAUGCUUAUUGUUUCAAACUGCCAAGUUUUAGAGUAAUUUCUUAUGCAACAAUAGAUAACUAAUAAAACAAUGUUAACAAUAACCUGAUGUACACCCAUGAAAUAUGAUAUCCAGACAAAAUUAGAAAGUGUUUAUGUAUGCACUGCAUUGUUAUGUUUCUUUAUAGAACAAAAAGAAUCCUAUGUUUUUCGGAUCCUUUUCUCAAGUCAGUGCCAGUGAUGCAGGGCCCAUGAGCCCGGAAAUUGGGGCUCAGCCUGGGAGGGUUCUUGGCUCCACCCGGGAAAGUAUUCAAGGGUGGACCAGUGGUGCCAGAUAGCAACUUUUAUUGAAGAGGCCGUGUAUGGCAGCAGCAGAGGCACUGGUCCUUGUGGAGCAGAGAUACUCCAUAGGCAGUGUGCCCAGAGUAGCAGCUCAGAGGCAGUUCUUCAGUCAUAUUUAUACCCACUUUUAAUUACAUGCAAAUUAAGAGGUGAGUUAUUCAGAAAUUUCUAGAAAAGGGGUGGUAACUUCCAGGUCAUUGACAUGGAAAGUGGGGGGUAACUUCUGCAUAUUGCCAUGGCAGUGGUAAACUGACAUGGCACUGGUGGGCAUGUCUUAUGGAAAGGUGCUUUUGCCUCUUCUUU